AGCCUGCUGAGAAAAUAAUAGUAGGUGGUUUCUGCCCGCUGAAUAAAUUUAAAUGGCCGCGGUAUCCUGACCGUGCUAAGGUAGCAUAAUAAUUUGUCUCUUAAUUAGAGACUGGAAUGAAUGAAUUUACGAAAGAAUUACUGUCUUUAUAUUAACAAUAAAAAUUAAACUUCAAGUGAAGAUGCUUGAAUUCAACUAAAGGACAAAAAGACCCUAUCGCGCUUUACUUAAAUUAAUUAAAUACUAAUUAUGUAAGUUUAGUUGGGGCGACUUAGGAAAAAAUAAAUCUUCCUUACUACAUAGACUUAAUAGUCACCUUAAAGAUCUGCUGAUGCAAUCUAUUAAAAAGCCACCGUAGGGAUAACAGACCAAUUCUUCUUAAGAGCUCAAAUUGACAGGAGAGCUUGGCACCUCGAUGUUGGCUUAAGAUACCCUAUAGGUGUAGCAGCCUAUAAUGGUAGGUUUGUUCAACCUUUAA
rnacentral:rRNA from 1 species